AUGGCCGCUGUUUGGACCAGACUUCUUCUCCUGGGAGUGUUUAUUGCCGUCGCACACGGGCUGACGUGCGGCCGAUGUCCGAUCGCAAUCUUUGGGCAAUGUCUGUUUCCCAGGUAUGAUGUCCAGUGCAACACCUCGACCAGCAGCUGCUUCAACGAGACUAUGUUGUUCAAUGCGACUGAUUUUAUCCGACUUCAACGCCAGGGGUGUGUGCCCUCGACCGCUUGUGACCAGACAGAGGCCAGCGCCUUCCUUGGAAUCGGUUACACCUUUUCCGUCGCCUGCUGCGGGACGGACCUGUGCAAUGGAGGGACGUCACGGUCACAACCAUACAGCGGAGGGACGUCGGUGCAGCUGUCGCUCGCUGCCGCGUUCGUUGCCGUUCUGGCGUCGCUCGUGGCUCGUUAGACGACACAUGGUGCUACGACGAUACUUUCUCAGCAGACAGUUAUGAAUAAAUCCAUGAUUCAUUAAAGAGACCGUAAUAAAUAUUUCGAUUUAAAUGUGUUGAUUUAAGUGUGCGGCUUGUCAGUUGUCAGGUCAUGGGUUUCAUAAAGUUGAAUGUUGUUAACUGGUUUAAAUAGGCCUAAUAUUGAAGAAUUAAAGGAUCAAAAAGUGUUUACCUGUGUCAAAUGAAUUGAAGUCUUCCAAUAAUCUGUAAUAAUCAUGAACUACAAUAUAUUUUAAGCACUGCCAUUCUUUCAGAGCGCAUUCUGAGUUGAAAGUUACAAUCACUGUAGGGUUUGGGGCGCAGGAUGCUAAAUCCCCAAACGGGACUCUCUAAAUCGACGCCACUUCGGCCUGGGCG
rnacentral:lncRNA from 1 species